rfam:Modestobacter marinus str. BC501 chromosome, complete genome.
GCUCGGACACCGCCGAACCACCGGACCGCUCUGCGGCGAGGUGGACCGGGGACCCACCGCAGUCCUGGGGUGAGUUCUCACGUGCGCCGGGAACGGGGCACACGCGCCGACGACGGCGCGCCGAGACAGGGCGUUCCUUCGCCCGAACCCGUCAGCUGACUCGGUAGGCGGUCGAGUGGAAGAAA